rnacentral:lncRNA from 1 species
CAAGACCAAGUGGGAUUUCGGAUUUCAGGUGUCCAAGUACGAGUCGCUCGAGACACUUCAUAAUGACGGAAGUUAGCGCAAUAGGGCGAUAAUCGUUCAGUGAUUCUAUUGAUGCUUUUUUCGGAAUUGGAAUUAUAAUGGAUUUUUUGAACAAUUCGGGAAUUAUAUGUGAUCUCAAGGACCAGUUGAAUAUAAGUGUGAAUACGCUACAAAGCUGGCUACUGCAUGUUUUUAAUAGACGGGAGCUGACUCCGUCAGGUCCGGUGGCCUUUUUCGCGUUAAGUGACGCAAAUUCUUUCCAUGUAUUGGCGCUCGUGAUGACAAGGGGCGGUUCGGAAUCACGCCUGGAGUCGAACCUGCUAAAAAAGGUUCUUCUAGCUCUUUUCUUCCUGUGAAGAAUGUAUUCAAUUUUUGAAUAAAACGUUACACAAUAUUAUCAUUUUAUGAAUGUAUAGCUGUAAUAUAUGCAAUCACAGAACUGGAUCUCUGAAAGAAUAUGCCAGGCACUAUCGCCUUCAUUCUAACAUACCAAAUAUUCAGAUACCUUGUGGAGACAGAACUUGCAAAAAAGUUUUCUCAAAUUACAAUUCUCUAAAUAGCCAUAUAACCCGAGAGCAUUCAAAUCUACGUAAAAUUACACGCACAAUUCGAAGCCAACAGUCUCUUCCCGUUGGUGAAUUUUCAGCCCAGUGUCCAAUAACUGUUUGCAAAUCAUCAUUUCUGAAUUUCAAGUCACUAUUAGUUCACUUGAAGAUUCACCUGCGCGAAGGACUCGAUGUUGACUGUCUUUACCACAAUUGUGAUAAAAGUUAUAAUGUGCUAUCUUCUUUUACGAGCCAUUUGAGUCGAGUUCACCAACCUGUUGGUGCUUCUGAUGAGCAAGGUGAUGAUGAAAAUGAUGGAGGAUUAGGAGAGGGUGGUACAGGCCUAACCUUGAUGGUGGUGAACCUCUUCAAGAAGCUUACAUAGACAUUAUUGAUGGCGAAGAAAUGCUUGACAAUGACAAUGAGGAUUCAUGUGAUGAUUUAUAGGAUGUAAAAAAACACUUUUUACUAACCAUCUAGCCCUUUUCUAUGUCAAACUUCAGGCUAAAUACUUGGUACCUAGUUCCACUGUGCAAAUAAUUGCAGAUGAAAUUGGUGAAAUAAAUGAAUUCGGACGGAGUCAGUUAAAGUUAAAACUUUUGCAGUCUUUAAACAGUGUAAUUCCCGAUAAUGAAAAAGUUCAUCAACUGAUAGCCAAUGUUUUGGAACAAUAAUUGUAAUCUAAUGUAGCACUAUUCAAUACUCAGAAUGAUCUAAACAUGUAUUUAAGCUGUAAAAUAGUAUCUCACUUUCUUGAUAUAAAGUCCAUUUAAUCUUAUCUUUUCACAUUAUGUCAUGUUUUGACCUUAUAAAAGGAAUAACAGAAUUUGAUUCAUCAUUCAUACUUAUUGUGUUUUAUCCAAUUCAUUUUAAGAUAUUGUAGUAGAGUGGAAUUUUCUCAACUGAUUAACAUUUAAUCAGCUUUAUCGUUGAUAGUUGCUUUGACCAUGUUCAUUGUAUGCAUUUCAGUCUUUUUACAGUAAUAACACCAAUACUAAUUUUUAUUUUUUUUAUACUAGCUACAGUACUUAUUUUGAUUUCAUAAAAUAAUACUGAUGGUAUUUAAUGGAUAUAACAUGACAUACAAGAAAAUUACAGCAAUAUAUGGUUUAGUUAUUAAAUGAUUACAGAUGUUUAUGUAUUGUCUCUUCAUUGAACAAUCCCUUUGUUUUUCUGAAAUGUUUUUAAGACAAAAUGUUUUGUCUUAGUACUCAACACCAAUACAAAUUUUCCAUUUGUUUUAUACUAGCUACUUAUUUUGAUUUCAUAAAAUAAUACUGAUGGUAUUUAAUGGUUAUAACAUGACAUACAAGAAAAUUACACCAAUACUGUAUAUGUUUAAGUUAUUAGGUGUCUACAGAUGUUUAUGUAUUUUCUCUUCAUUGAACAAUACAUUUGUGUUUCUGAAAUGUUUUUAAGACGAAAUGUUGUCUACAGUAGUCUAAAGAGUUCAAUUCAAAUAAAGUUCUGUUUUAUUACACAA